UUUAAACCUUUUAAAAGCUACACAUUUUUAAAAAAAAGAAAAACAUGUAGAUGUUUGCCCGGGGGUGGCUAUGUGGCCUGGACUGUAACUAAUAAAAAAUUGUCAAGACUAAUUUUUUUUUUUAUAGCACUUUAUGUAAACAGUUAUUGUUCAAACUAAAGAAUAUAUUUUACAAAUGCAAUACGAAGAAGACAGUUUGUCACAUUUUAUCUUAUGCUUUUUAUGUUUAUCAUAAAUAUUUUUGUCGCAAUGAAUUAGGGGAUAUUAUCAUAAUAUGAUAUUUUUCUAAACUAUUUACAUCAUUCAUCACAAGGAGGAUCACCACACAAGGAUCUUUUCUAGUAAGUGCCCCUCUGACUGUCAUGUUUUUUACAUAUAUUAGUGCCAAAAAAUCAGCUAUUAGAGAAAAUUAAUCUUCUUUAGAGGGAAGUGCUGUACACUAUAGCAAAACUAAUGGAAAAGCGAAAUCAUAUAUAUGUAAUUACCUUUUUUAUAAAAUACCUCUUUUAAUAACCUGGGAAAUUAUAAGUAGAAAAGUUUCUAAAUAACAAGUUUGUAGGAGUUAUUAUUUUAGACUUUUACUACCCUAUCCAGUUAUUAUUAUAACCAUUCAGAUGAAUUGAUCCCAAACAAUAUCUGGACCAAAUUCACAAUUAGGUUAAAAGUUAUUUCAUGAUGAGAAACAAAAUUUAUUAAAAGCUUAUUGGUUUAAAGAAAACGAAAAACAAAAGUUUUAUCUUAAUUUUAAGAGCACUUUUAAUACCUGUUUGCAAAAGAUAAUUAAACAGAAAUGUUUCAUUACAAAAUGAAAAAAUAUGAAAUGAAGCACCACCUUCACAAAAAAAAAACAAUUAGCAAUUACUAAUAGCUUCUUGCCAACUGUCAUGCAAUUUUUUUUAUUUAAAAUAAGUUAACAACUAGCUGUGAUUGCACCUUAGUUCUUUGUUCAGGAUUGCCACAGGCGACUAAAAUGCAACUAUUUUCAGCAUGAGGCGAGAAUGGAAACCUUUUUUGGCUAAAAAAGC